rnacentral:rRNA from 1 species
UACGUAGGUGGCGAGCGUUGUCCGGAAUUACUGGGCGUAAAGGGCGCGUAGGCGGCCUGUUAAGUCGAACGUGAAAUCCCCGGGCUCAACCCGGGAACUGCGUCCGAUACUGGCAGGCUUGAAUCCGGGAGAGGGAUGCGGAAUUCCAGGUGUAGCGGUGAAAUGCGUAGAUAUCUGGAGGAACACCGGUGGCGAAGGCGGGACUCUGGGCCGAUACUGACGCUGAGGAGCGAAAGCGUGGGGAGCGAACAGG